UGCAUUUAUUUAAUAUCACAUAGUUUACAUUCUGACAAGAUUGACAACAAUUUUCCAAGGAAUAUUACAAAACUAACACUUGGAAUUUCAUCAUUUAAAACAAUUAGAUUCUCUCAAAAGCCAAAACCAUAAAGUGGAAGUAUAAAAAGUAUGAAAGUGUCAGUGUUUUCUUUACAUACCAGUCCCAAAAUCUGCUUGAUGAUGCAAUGGGUUCUAUGCAUGAUGCAAAGAUACAAAUCAGGGUGUGUGCUUUUGUUUAACCAAUGUGACUGAAAAUUCUUUUGCACGCCACAAGAUAUAUUUGCUCUUAGUGAUGUAGAAGUAACAGAGAAGUGUAAAACUAACAUUUUAAGCUUCAGUGUUGGAUGCAAGUUUUGCUUGUGUACCUACACUUUAAACACAAGGGUAAAGAACUGGUAGUGUGGUUUAUUAUAGUGUUCUGAUCAUAACUCAUUAUGUUUUGCUUGUUUCAGUUCAAGAUGCCACGUAAAGAGAGACGUCAGAAACAAAAAAGAAAGGAUCUGCUAGAAGCAGCAAAAGUUAAAAGGCAAGAGACUGAAAUAGAUAAGACUUCACUCAACACAGAGAAGAUGAGACAAUGAGGCAAAAAAGAAAAGAGAAACUGACAAGAAAAAAAGAAGAGGAAAGAUUGAAGAAAAUGUACAUAGGUACUUACAAACCUAUGUACAUUUUUGCUUUUGUUUUUUGUUUUUGUUUUUUUUCCUGCAGUUCCACGUUAAAGUUUGAUGCAGCUCUGUUUUUCUGAAUGGACCGUCUUCAUCGCCACUGCAAGGACAGCAACCCAGGCAGAUGUUCUUUGAUUGUAUGUCUCACAAUUUUGUAAUCUAUCAUUGUUAAUUAAACUCUGAAAGCUG